GGAACAAUAGUUUAAUUUUACAAAACAUAACACUGAAAAUGUUAAAAUGACUUGGUCUUUUUCCA
rnacentral:tRNA from 1 species